rnacentral:tRNA from 1 species
GCUGGGGUAGCCAAACCUGGUCAUCCACUUAAAAGACGCACUUCGUGCGUCGGUCGGUUUUGUAUUAUCAACUCGAUGGGUGGGCUGAUCGGCGCUAGCCUGCUAAGCUAGUGGGCGCAAGCCCCUGUGGGUUCAAACGGCCCUUUCUUAAAAGAAAGCGCCGGCGGAAAGAACAUUGUACGUCGGUGAAAGAAUCGGCCUGGAAUUCCCACCCCCAGCG